GACGAACGCUGGCGGCGUGCUUAACACAUGCAAGUCGAACGGAAAGGCCCUGCUUUUGUGGGGUGCUCGAGUGGCGAACGGGUGAGUAACACGUGAGUAACCUGCCCUUGACUUUGGGAUAACUUCGGGAAACUGGGGCUAAUACCGGAUAGGAGCUCCUGCUGCAUGGUGGGGGUUGGAAAGUUUCGGCGGUUGGGGAUGGACUCGCGGCUUAUCAGCUUGUUGGUGGGGUAGUGGCUUACCAAGGCUUUGACGGGUAGCCGGCCUGAGAGGGUGACCGGCCACAUUGGGACUGAGAUACGGCCCAGACUCCUACGGGAGGCAGCAGUGGGGAAUAUUGCGCAAUGGGCGGAAGCCUGAUGCAGCAACGCCGCGUGCGGGAUGACGGCCUUCGGGUUGUAAACCGCUUUCGCCUGUGACGAAGCGUGAGUGACGGUAAUGGGUAAAGAAGCACCGGCUAACUACGU
rnacentral:rRNA from 1 species